rnacentral:rRNA from 1 species
CCCGCUGAACUUAAGCAUAUCAAUAAGCGGAGGAAAAGAAACUAACAAGGAUUCCCCUAGUAACUGCGAGUGAAGCGGGAAAAGCUCAAAUUUGAAAUCUGGCGUGCCUCUGGUCGUCCGAGUUGUAGUUUAGAGAAGCGUUUUCUGUGUUGGACCGUGUAUAAGUCUCUUGGAACAGGGCGUCAUAGAGGGUGAGAAUCCCGUCUUUGACACGGACUACCAAUGCUUUGUGAUACGCUCUCAAAGAGUCGAGUUGUUUGGGAAUGCAGCUCAAAAUGGGUGGUAAAUUCCAUCUAAAGCUAAAUAUAGGCGAGAGACCGAUAGCGAACAAGUACCGUGAGGGAAAGAUGAAAAGCACUUUGGAAAGAGAGUUAAACAGUACGUGAAAUUGCUGAAAGGGAAACGCUUGAAGUCAGUCACGUCUGCCAGGACUCAGCCUUGCUUCUGCUUGGUGUACUUUCUGGUUGGAUGGGCCAACAUCGAUUUCGACCGUUGGAGAAAGGCUUUGGGAAUGUGGCACCUUCGGGUGUGUUAUAGCCCUUUGUCGUAUGCAAUGGUUGGGAUCGAGGACUGCAGCAUGCCUUCAUGGCCGGGGUUCGCCCACGUACAUGCUUAGGAUGUUGGCAUAAUGGCUUUAAGCGACCCGUCUUGAAACACGG